UGUCACCGCAUGGUGGUGGGUGGAAAGAUUUUUUGGUUUUGGAUGGACUCGCGGCCUAUCAGCUUGUUGGUGAGGUAAUGGCUCACCAAGGCGACGACGGGUAGCCGGCCUGAGAGGGUGACCGGCCACACUGGGACUGAGACACGGCCCAGACUCCUACGGGAGGCAGCAGUGGGGAAUAUUGCACAAUGGGCGAAAGCCUGAUGCAGCGACGCCGCGUGAGGGAUGACGGCCUUCGGGUUGUAAACCUCUUUCAGCAGGGAAGAAGCGAAAGUGACGGUACCUGCAGAAGAAGCGCCGGCUAACUACGUGCCAGCAGCCGCGGUAAUACGUAGGGCGCAAGCGUUGUCCGGAAUUAUUGGGCGUAAAGAGCUCGUAGGCGGUUUGUCGCGUCUGCUGUGAAAGCCCGGGGCUCAACCCCGGGUCUGCAGUGGGUACGGGCAGACUAGAGUGCAGUAGGGGAGACUGGAAUUCCUGGUGUAGCGGUGAAAUGCGCAGAUAUCAGGAGGAACACCGAUGGCGAAGGCAGGUCUCUGGGCUGUAACUGACGCUGAGGAGCGAAAGCAUGGGGAGCGAACAGGAUUAGAUACCCUGGUAGUCCAUGCCGUAAACGUUGGGCACUAGGUGUGGGGGACAUUCCACGUUUUCCGCGCCGUAGCUAACGCAUUAAGUGCCCCGCCUGGGGAGUACGGCCGCAAGGCUAAAACUCAAAGGAAUUGACGGGGGCCCGCACAAGCGGCGGAGCAUGCGGAUUAAUUCGAUGCAACGCGAAGAACCUUACCAAGGCUUGACAUGGACCGGACCGCCGCAGAAAUGCGGUUUCCCUUCGGGGCCGGUUUACAGGUGGUGCAUGGUUGUCGUCAGCUCGUGUCGUGAGAUGUUGGGUUAAGUCCCGCAACGAGCGCAACCCUCGUUCUAUGUUGCCAGCGCGUGAUGGCGGGGACUCAUAGGAGACUGCCGGGGUCAACUCGGAGGAAGGUGGGGACGACGUCAAAUCAUCAUGCCCCUUAUGUCUUGGGCUUCACGCAUGCUACAAUGGCCGGUACAAAGGGUUGCGAUACUGUGAGGUGGAGCUAAUCCCAAAAAGCCGGUCUCAGUUCGGAUUGAGGUCUGCAACUCGACCUCAUGAAGUCGGAGUCGCUAGUAAUCGCAGAUCAGCAACGCU
rnacentral:rRNA from 1 species